AUUGUUGCGAGGGAUUUCAACUGUCUCCCAAUGAAAGAAAUUGUUUUCUGGCACUCUGCAAAUUUAGCAGCUGCUGCUGCUAGCUCCUCCUCCUGUCAUAUGCAAUUAAAAUGUGCAAAGGAAUUCAGUUACGGAAAGAAGAAAAGGAAGAAAAGGCAAUCAAGCAGGAAUCAUCAUUAUUGUCAUCAUUAUCACUUGGAAUCAGAUAAUAUAAUGCUGUGAUAUUUAGAGCUAUAGAGGUGAUUUGUUGAAUGUUUCUUUGGGUGUGGAUGACAAUACAACAUUGCUUCUUAAGGAAAUUUAUAAUUCUUUGGGCAGAUGCAAGACUCUCCUUGUAUGGUCCGAUGAGGGGGUGGAAAUGUGAGUCCUGACCAGCUUGAGCUUUUGAUUAAUCAAUUGGAGGCGUUGAAUGUGGGGAUUACUGGAAUCUUGAGGAAGAACAAGGAACUUAACACAUAUUCAGUAUUCGACAUUCAGUUGACUGUGACGAAAAAAAAAGCAACAAGGACUUGGAAGGGGCAUGUAGGAAGAAGAAAUCUGUCGGCCCUUCUGUUAUUUUCAGCGAACAAUGUAGGGAAGAAUUCGAGCAGAAGUAUCGUGAAAUCAAAUUAGAAGCUGCUUUUCAAACAGCGGGAGGACCAUGACUGCUAAUGAGUUUAAGCACUUUAUUAUGACUUUAGGCUCUUUCUUUUCAUGAUUUUUGUGGGGAGAGCUGUUUUGGGUUGUUUGAGGGUCGUUUAUUGAUGUGUUUUUGGGGUGCGGUCUUUUUUCUCUAUUGUCACUGCAUUGAAGAAGAAAUAGUUGGAUUCAGUUACUGACGUACAAUAUACCAGUUUUUGAGAAAAACCAGUAUCGCAGCAUUGAGAGGGUUAUAUCUACAGGAAAAAAGAAGCUAGAAAACUGACCUGCUUUAUUUUCCAAUCUCCAUUAAACAUUGCAGCAUUCCGGAUAUCAACUUCGCGCUUCAUUCCCAAAAUCUCAUCUUCCAAUUUCCGACACUUGACCGCUGCUUCUUCCGACAAAACCUUCUCUUUUCGGACUUCUACUU